UUGAAAUCAUAAUCUAGUUCUGUUAAAUACAGAUUGAAAAAAUUCAUUAAAUUUGCUUGCUAUGACGGCAGGCUGAACAACGGUUUCGUUUAAAACAGU
rnacentral:lncRNA from 1 species